UAUACUGCAGUCGAGCGGACUGAUGGGAGCUUGCUCCCUGAUGUUAGCGGCGGACGGGUGAGUAACACGUGGGCAACCUGCCUGUAAGACUGGGAUAACUCCGGGAAACCGGGGCUAAUACCGGAUAACCCGUUCCACCUCAUGGUGGAGCGGUAAAAGAUGGCCUCUGGCUAUCACUUACAGAUGGGCCCGCGGCGCAUUAGCUAGUUGGUAAGGUAACGGCUUACCAAGGCGACGAUGCGUAGCCGACCUGAGAGGGUGAUCGGCCACACUGGGACUGAGACACGGCCCAGACUCCUACGGGAGGCAGCAGUAGGGAAUCUUCCGCAAUGGACGAAAGUCUGACGGAGCAACGCCGCGUGAGUGAUGAAGGUUUUCGGAUCGUAAAGCUCUGUUGUUAGGGAAGAACAAGUGCCGUUUGAAUAAGGCGGCACCUUGACGGUACCUAACCAGAAAGCCACGGCUAACUACGUGCCAGCAGCCGCGGUAAUACGUAGGUGGCAAGCGUUGUCCGGAAUUAUUGGGCGUAAAGCGCGCGCAGGCGGUCUCUUAAGUCUGAUGUGAAAGCCCACGGCUCAACCGUGGAGGGUCAUUGGAAACUGGGAGACUUGAGUACAGAAGAGGAGAGUGGAAUUCCACGUGUAGCGGUGAAAUGCGUAGAUAUGUGGAGGAACACCAGUGGCGAAGGCGACUCUCUGGUCUGUAACUGACGCUGAGGCGCGAAAGCGUGGGGAGCAAACAGGAUUAGAUACCCUGGUAGUCCACGCCGUAAACGAUGAGUGCUAGUGUUAGGGGUUUCGAUGCCCUUAGUGCCGAAGUUAACACAUUAAGCACUCCGCCUGGGGAGUACGACCGCAAGGUUGAAACUCAAGGAAUUGACGGGGGCCCGCACAAGCAGUGGAGCAUGUGGUUUAAUUCGAAGCAACGCGAAGAACC
rnacentral:rRNA from 2 species